AGAGUUUGAUCCUGGCUCAGAACGAACGCUGGCGGCGUGCUUAACACAUGCAAGUCGAACGAGAAAGUUUUCUUCGGAAAACGAGUAGAGUGGCGCACGGGUGAGUAACGCGUAGGUAAUCUACCCUAAUAUUUGGGAUAACAUUGGGAAACUGGUGCUAAUACCGAAUACCCUUCUUUUCUGUCGGGUUAAGGAGGAAAGGUGGCCUCUCCAUGAAAGCUACCGUACAAGGAUGAGCCUGCGUACCAUUAGCUAGUAGGUGGGGUAAUGGCCCACCUAGGCAACGAUGGUUAGCGGGUCUGAGAGGAUGAUCCGCCACACUGGAACUGGAACACGGACCAGACUCCUACGGGAGGCAGCAGUGAGGAAUAUUGCGCAAUGGGGGAAACCCUGACGCAGCGACGCCGCGUGAGUGAGGAAGGUUUUCGGAUCGUAAAGCUCUGUCAGAAGGGAAGAAGUGUUAUACAGUUAAUACCUGUAUAAUUUGACGGUACCUUCAGAGGAAGCACCGGCUAACUCCGUGCCAGCAGCCGCGGUAAUACGGAGGGUGCAAGCGUUGUUCANAAUUACUGGGCGUAAAGGGCGCGUAGGCGGCCCGAUAAGUCAGAUGUGAAAGUCCAUGGCUCAACUGUGGAAGUGCAUUUGAAACUGUCAGGCUUGAGUAUCCGAGGGGAGUGUGGAAUUCCCGGUGUAGAGGUGAAAUUCGUAGAGAUCGGGAGGAACACCGGUGGCGAAGGCGACACUCUGGACGAAUACUGACGCUGAGGCGCGAAAGCGUGGGGAGCAAACAGGAUUAGAUACCCUGGUAGUCCACGCCGUAAACGAUGUGAACUAGAGGUAGGGGGUGUUGAUCCCUCCUGUCUCGCAGCUAACGCAUUAAGUUCACCGCCUGGGGAGUACGGUCGCAA
rnacentral:rRNA from 1 species